CAUGUAGGCGGUUUUUUAAGUCUGGAGUGAAAAUGCGGGGCUCAACCCCGUAUGGCUCUGGAUACUGGAAGACUUGAGUGCAGGAGAGGAAAGGGGAAUUCCCAGUGUAGCGGUGAAAUGCGUAGAUAUUGGGAGGAACACCAGUGGCGAAGGCGCCUUUCUGGACUGUGUCUGACGCUGAGAUGCGAAAGCAGGGUAGCGAACG
rnacentral:rRNA from 1 species